ensembl:lincRNA Gm9946 predicted gene 9946
ACUGUGUGCCGGCUGCCCUCGCUCUCACUGGCAGGUUCUUCCCCGAUGUUAAAACCCACUUCUUCAGGCACCCAAAGUAGACUGAAGACCAGCAGUUCUCCAAGAAUCCUCCUGGCCUUUAGCACCAAAUUGGAACUUCCAAAGUAUCCAGCAUUGAGGACUGUCAGUGUGAGACAGCCACUGUUGGACGACAAGAGCCACACCAUGAACUGCCCAAGAUCGCUAAGCACUCCCAGCUCUCAGGCUUUUGGACUCAGGCUGACUUCUUUUACUGUUCUCCAGUUCUGCAGACAAUAAGCCAUGGGAAUCUCAGUCUUCAUAGCCACUGAAUCCUAUUCUUAUGGAGAGACGCCAUGUCUGUGAAGGUACCUAGUAGCUAGUAUCUUCUCAUGGACUUGAUGGGAUCCUACAGGAAACAGAAUUCCAGUGUCAGUGUCCCUUCCUCUGCUCUCGGACUCUAGGGCAAACCAAGAGUCUAAUGCAGCUCCUGUCUUGCAGAGGUGAUGAACACCAUGCACAAGGUCACAAAGACUCUGCCCACAUUAUCUUGGUUAUCAAACUCAAGUAGAACUAAUACUGCUCGAAGACAAAUGUCUUUAAAGUUCCACUGUCCAGUUACAAAUAAACAGAGGAAGGAGAGAGAUGGGGAGGUGGUACAGAGUGCCUUGGGGACAGAAGGAAGAAAAUACUCGGAGCAUGCACAAAGCCAAGUGGUGACGAACUCUAGAGGACUUAUCUCAUCCAAGAGAGAGAUAAGAGUGGCUGGAGGAAACUGGGCUUGGGAGACACCCCAGUCUCUAAAGUGCUGGCCCCACAAGCAUGAGGACCUGAGUUUGAUCGCCAAAAUAUACACUUUAAAAGUCAAGUUUAACAGUGUGCACUUGUAAUUCCAGUACUGGGAAGGCUAAGACAAGCCGCUACUGGGUUUCACCAGCCAGACAGCCUAGCCUCUAGGCAAGGUGCAGACCAACAAGAGACCAUCCCAUGAAACAAAGUGGGUGGCUCCUAAGGAAUGGUGCACAC